AAACCAUUUUUCCCCCUAAGUCUAGGCGAUAAAAAAGGAAAUCCGGAGCAAUAGAAAAAGUACCGCAAGGGAAAGCUGAAAGAGAGAUGAAACAGCCCAGUUGAAGCUUAACAAAGCAGAGAUCAAAACUCGUACCUUUUGCAUCAUGAUUUAGCUAGAACCUUCAAGCAAAGAGAACUGGGAGUUUGAACCCCCGAAACUGGGUGAGCUACUCCAAGACAGCCUUUACUGUAGGGCAAACCCGUCUCUGUGGCAAAAGAGUGGGAAGAACUUUGAGUAGAAGUGACAGACUUACCGAACCCAGUAAUAGCUGGUUGCUCGUGAAUUGGAUAGAAGUUCAGCCCCCAACACUUUUUUCUUAGUCACAGUCACUCCCCACUAGCAACUUUACCAAGGAUGAAAAGAAGAAAAGAGAGUUAGUCAAAGGGGGGACAGCCCCUUUGAAACAGACGCAACUUUACCAGGAGGGUAAGGAUCAAACUCAACCAAGGAGUCACCCCUAAGUUGGCCUAAAAGCAGCCAUCUUUAAAGAAAGCGUUAAAGCUCAGACUACUACACUUACUCCCUUUAUUCUGAUAACCUACUCCAAACCCCCUAACCCUACCAGGCCAUUCUAUUAACAUAGAAGCGACCAUGCUAGAAUGAGUAAUCAGGGAAAAACAGCCUCCCUCAAGUCGCAUGUGUAACUCGGAACGGACCCCCCACCGAAUAUUAACGGCCCCAAGCAAAGAGGGCAAUAAAACUACCCCACCCACGCUAGAAAACCUUUUACUGACCUAGACCGUUAAACCUACACAGGAGCGCGUCCUGGGAAAGACUAACCGGGGAAGAAGGAACUCGGCAAAUAUACCUAAAGCCUCGCCUGUUUACCAAAAACAUCGCCUCUUGCAAACCGCAGUAUAAGAGGUCCUGCCUGCCCAGUGACAAAUUGUUCAACGGCCGCGGUAUUUUGACCGUGCUAAGGUAGCGUAAUCACUUGUCUUUUAAAUGAAGACCCGUAUGAAUGGCAAAACGAGGGCUUAACUGUCUCCUUUCCCAAGUCAAUGAAAUUGAUCUCCCCGUGCAGAAGCGGGGAUAACACCAUAAGACGAGAAGACCCUAUGGAGCUUUAGACAAACGACUGAACCGUAUUCCCUGGCCCCUUCUCACAGGAACUAAAUUUAAUGGACCCUCUUUCAAUGUCUUCGGUUGGGGCGACCAUGGGGAAAACAAAACCCCCAAGUGGAAUAGGGGUAACGAAAACGUCGAUUACACCCCUUAAGGUAGAGCGACAGCUCAACACAACAGAAAUUCUGACCAAAAUGAUCCGGACAUUCCGAUCAACGAACCAAGUUACCCUAGGGAUAACAGCGCAAU
rnacentral:rRNA from 1 species